GUGGUUUAGGAUUUAUGGUUUAGGGUUUAGGGUUUAGAGUUUAGGGUUUAGGGUUUAGAUUUUAGGGUUUAGGGUUUAGAUUUUAGGGUUUAGGGUUUAGAGUUUAGGGUUUAGAGUUCAGAGUUUAGGGUUUAGGGUUUAUGGUUUAGGGUUUAUGGUUUAGGGUUUAGAGUUUAGGGUUUAGGGUUUAGAGUUGAGAAAUGAGGUUUUGGGGAUAAGAUUUCAAAUUUUGAAAAAUAAAAAAAAUUAAAAUUUUCAAAUGAUAAACUUAGAAAGGUGCUAUUUUGGUCAUUUUAGUUUUUGAGUGCUAUUUUUGUGAUAUAAACUUAGAAAUGUGAUAUUUUGGAGAUUUGCCCUUCUUUUUUUCCUUAUUUUUUUUCCUCCUUUUCAUGCUCUUUCUAUUUCUUUUUUUUUUCUUCUUUUUCC
rnacentral:lncRNA from 1 species